rnacentral:rRNA from 1 species
AGACGGAGGGGGCUAGCGUUGUUCGGAAUUACUGGGCGUAAAGCGCGCGUAGGCGGUCCGUUUAGUUAGGCGUGAAAGGCCUGGGCUCAACCCGGGAACUACGUUUAAAACUGGCGGGCUAGAGUCCGGGAGAGGGUGGCGGAAUUCCCAGUGUAGAGGUGAAAUUCGUAGAUAUUGGGAAGAACACCGGUGGCGAAGGCGGCUACCUGGACCGGUUCUGACGCUGAGGUGCGAAAGCGUGGGGAGCAAACAGGAUUAGAAACCCCGGUAGUCC